rnacentral:lncRNA from 1 species
CCGGGAAGCGUGCACCUGCAAAAAUGAGAAGUCCACUCUGACCGGAGGCGGCUCCGGCGGGGACCCUCCGACGGUCAAGUCAGAGAGGUGACUGGGCAACAGUGAAAUGUAGACAGAGAGCUCGAUCGAGAGAGAGAGAGAGGGAGAGGAGUGAGCCUGUGGUUUUCGGGUGUCGAGAAGUGGGAGAGAUGGAGCGGAUCCCUUG